GGAUGGAUGUUUGAGUGGUUGAAAGAGUUGGUCUUAAAAACUAAAGUAUUAAUAGAAAUACCAUAGUUCGAACCCCCCUCCAUCCA
rnacentral:tRNA from 1 species